AUGUCGCAGUAUUGGUGGGGUGAUGAUGAAAACCAGAGAAGAAUGCAUUGGUUUGCAUGGUGGAAGAUGUGUAUCCCGAAGGAGAAAGGUGGUAUGGGGUUUCGAGAUAUCCAUUGCUUUAACUUGGCAAUGCUUGCCAAGCAAUGCUGGAGGUUAAUUGAAAAUUAUGACUCACUAUGUGCUAAAGUACUUCGUGCAAGAUACUGCCCUACUGGUGACAUUCUUAAUAGCACACUAAAGAAAGGAUCUUCUUUUGUUUGGCAGAGCAUCUUUGCUGGGAUCCAAACUUUUAAGAAGGGACACAUUUGGAGAGUUGGUGAUGGCCUCAAGAUAAACAUAUGGGAGGACUGUUGGAUUCCUAAUAGCCCGUCCAGGAGAGUCAUUACAAUCCGAGGUAAUCAGGUUUUGACAUCCGUUAAUGACCUCAUUGAUCCUAUAUCUGGUACUUGGGAUGAAUAG
rnacentral:rRNA from 1 species